AGAGUUUGAUCCUGGCUCAGAUUGAACGCUGGCGGCGUGCUUAACACAUGCAAGUCGUGCGAGAAAGGGGGCUUCGGUCCCUGAGUAGAGCGGCGCACGGGUGAGUAACGCGUGGAUAAUCUCCCCAGAAGUUCGGGAUAACGGCGGGAAACUGCCGCUAAUACCGGAUACGCUCCAAUUUCGGUUGGGGGAAAGGCGGCCUCUGUUUACAAGCUGUCGCUUCUGGAUGAGUCCGCGUCCCAUUAGCUUGUUGGUGGGGUAAUGGCCUACCAAGGCUACGAUGGGUAGCUGGUCUGAGAGGAUGAUCAGCCACACUGGAACUGAAACACGGUCCAGACUCCUACGGGAGGCAGCAGUGGGGAAUAUUGCGCAAUGGGGGAAACCCUGACGCAGCGACGCCGUGUGAGGGAUGAAGGCUUUCGGG
rnacentral:rRNA from 1 species